rnacentral:rRNA from 1 species
GAUGAACGCUGGCGGCGUGCCUAAUACAUGCAAGUCGAGCGAACGGACGAGAAGCUUGCUUCUCUGAUGUUAGCGGCGGACGGGUGAGUAACACGUGGAUAACCUACCUAUAAGACUGGGAUAACUUCGGGAAACCGGAGCUAAUACCAGAUAAUAUUUUGAACCGCAUGGUUCAAAAGUGAAAGACGGUCUUGCUGUCACUUAUAGAUGGAUCCGCGCUGCAUUAGCUAGUUGGUAAGGUAACGGCUUACCAAGGCAACGAUGCAUAGCCGACCUGAGAGGGUGAUCGGCCACACUGGAACUGAGACACGGUCCAGACUCCUACGGGAGGCAGCAGUAGGGAAUCUUCCGCAAUGGGCGAAAGCCUGACGGAGCAACGCCGCGUGAGUGAUGAAGGUCUUCGGAUCGUAAAACUCUGUUAUUAGGGAAGAACAUAUGUGUAAGUAACUGUGCACAUCUUGACGGUACCUAAUCAGAAAGCCACGGCUAACUACGUGCCAGCAGCCGCGGUAAUACGUAGGUGGCAAGCGUUAUCCGGAAUUAUUGGGUGUAAAGCGCGCGUAGCGGUUUUUUAGUCUGAUGUGAAAGCCCACGGCUCAACCGUGGAGGGUCAUUGGAAACUGGAAAACUUGAGUGCAGAAGAGGAAAGUGGAAUUCCAUGUGUAGCGGUGAAAUGCGCAGAGAUAUGGAGGAACACCAGUGGCGAAGGCGACUUUCUGGUCUGUAACUGACGCUGAUGUGCGAAAGCGUGGGGAUCAAACAGGAUUAGAUACCCUGGUAGUCCACGCCGUAAACGAUGAGUGCUAAGUGUUAGGGGGUUUCCGCCCCUUAGUGCUGCAGCUAACGCAUUAAGCACUCCGCCUGGGGAGUACGACCGCAAGGUUGAAACUCAAAGGAAUUGACGGGGACCCGCACAAGCGGUGGAGCAUGUGGUUUAAUUCGAAGCAACGCGAAGAACCUUACCAAAUCUUGACAUCCUUUGACAACUCUAGAGAUAGAGCUUUCCCCUUCGGGGGACAAAGUGACAGGUGGUGCAUGGUUGUCGUCAGCUCGUGUCGUGAGAUGUUGGGUUAAGUCCCGCAACGAGCGCAACCCUUAAGCUUAGUUGCCAUCAUUAAGUUGGGCACUCUAAGUUGACUGCCGGUGACAAACCGGAGGAAGGUGGGGAUGACGUCAAAUCAUCAUGCCCCUUAUGAUUUGGGCUACACACGUGCUACAAUGGACAAUACAAAGGGCAGCGAAACCGUGAGGUCAAGCAAAUCCCAUAAAGUUGUUCUCAGUUCGGAUUGUAGUCUGCAACUCGACUACAUGAAGCUGGAAUCGCUAGUAAUCGUAGAUCAGCAUGCUACGGUGAAUACGUUCCCGGGUCU